AAGUAAGUGAUUAAAAAAAUCAUAAAUCCCGCUCCUAUAUUGGUGUAAAACUGUUCGCCGUUAAUCUGGUAGUGCAACAGAUUUACUGCUAGUAGUCUCUGCUACUAGCAGUAUUUGUCUGUUUCUUCCAUUUUCCCUCCUACCGCUUACAAGCAACGUGUCAUCUUUCCCAUAUUUCUAUUUUCCUCCCCCCACCGAUGGCCGCUUCGUUCUUUCUUUCUUCAAUUCAACAAUCAUCCACUCCUCUCUCUAAACCCUAACCUCGUUUACUUCUCCCACAAUGGUCUGUACUCACAAAUCCUCCGGUUUAAAUUGGCUCGACCGGCUCCGAUUGUCUAAAGGCUUCUCCCUUCCCGAACACAACAAUAUCGACCAAUUCCUAGCUCAACACACUCCUGGCGGACCUGAUUCUCUUUCUAAUAAUAGUAAUGCCGGUUCAGAAUCCAGCUCCGAUCCGGUUCCGGUUCGGACCGUAAACGAACCGGUCCUGCGUAACGAUCAAGCUCCGGCAGCACCGAAUAACACUGGAGAGAAAGAGGAAAUGUGUAAUGUAGUUACUAAUGUUCUAUCCGACCUGUUUUGUAUGGGGGAAUCAGUUAAAUUCUCUAAGGUGAAUGGGAAAAAGGCCUCACGCAAACAGAAGAACCCUAAGUAUUUUGCAUCAUCGGGAAUUAACAACAAUGCUGAGGGUGGUAAGAGGAAAGAAGAAGCGGCAUCGGUCGAGAAAUGUCCGGUGGGAGUAAAGGAUUCUUCUCAGGUCAAGGUAUUAGAGCAGAGGGAUGAUUUGAACUUGGUGGAAGAAGAGGAGGAUAAGUCACAAGAUAAUCUGAUGGGAUUUUCAAGGACAGAAGUAACGGUGAUAGAUACGAGCUUUGCACCGUGGAAAUUCGAGAAAUUGCUUUUCAGAAAGAAGAAUGUAUGGAAGGUUCGUGAUAGAAAAGGUAAGUCGAUGAAUUUUGGGAAGAAGAAGAGGAAAGCAACGAAUGAUGACGAUGGUGGCAAGAAGAAACAGAAGGUUAUAAUAAGCGGAGAGGAUGGUCAUGCUGCAAAUGGGGGUGUAUGCAAGUAUUCAGUCAACGAAAGGUCUGCGGUUCGGACCUGGAUGGCUGGACAUGUUCCUUUUGUAGAUGAGGUGCAAAAAUAUUAAAACAACAAAUGAAGCUGCUGAGCUUUCGACCUCACGGCAUCUAGUAGAAAAUUGAGGCGCCUGACCAAAUGAGCCGUGCAUAGCUCUUGGUGUCGAGCAGUUCAUUUUACUGAAUUUAUAAGCUUCAGUUGAAUGAUAAAUUGGAAGAAUCUUCUAAAAGGACAUCUGAUUCUGUUGGCCAGGCUUCCAAAAAGAAACACGGUUACUUAAAAUUAAAGAAGGCAUCUUCAUCAGUUGUUCUAAUUAAGAACAUUCCUCCACCAAGUAAGAAAAAUGGAACAGGCAUUGCUAAGAAUUUUCUGAAGCCAUUUGAUCGACAGUGUCAGCUUAAUAAUCAACCAAACACAGUUGUCUGACUGCAAAUUCAUCUGCAUUUUCCAUCUUUGGAGUAGUGAAGCAUGAUAUUUUCCAGAAACAAAUAAUCCCACUAUAUGGGGUGUAGAGUGUAGCAGGAAGAAUUGUAUAAAUACCAAUGUGCAGAGAAUUAAAAUUGUGUAGUUCGUUGUUGAUGUAACACACUGUUUUGCUUAUCAGGAUGCAAAUAUUCAAGCUUUUAUGAUAAUAUCUUUGUUGCUCAAA